GAUGAACGCUAGCGACAGGCUUAACACAUGCAAGUCGAGGGGAAACGCCAUCGAAAGCUUGCUUUUGAUGGGCGUCGACCGGCGCACGGGAGAGUAACGCGUAUCCAACCUGCCCACCACUUGGGGAUAACCUUGCGAAAGUAAGACUAAUACCCAAUGACGUCUCUAGAAGACAUCUGAAAGAGAUUAAAGAUUUAUCGGUGAUGGAUGGGGAUGCGUCUGAUUAGCUAGUUGGCGGGGUAACGGCCCACCAAGGCGACGAUCAGUAGGGGUUCUGAGAGGAAGGUCCCCUACAUUGGAACUGCGACACGGUCCACACUCCUACGGGAGGCAGCAGUGAGGAAUAUUGGUCAAUGGACGAGAGUCUGAACCAGCCAAGUAGCGUGCAGGAUGACGGCCCUAUGGGUUGUAAACUGCUUUUAUAAGGGAAUAAAGUGAGUCUCGUGAGACUUUUUGCAUGUACCUUAUGAAUAAGGACCGGCUAAUUCCGUG
rnacentral:rRNA from 1 species